GCUGCAGUAGUGAUGAGUUCACUUUUUGCCGUUUACCCAUCAGACAACAAAAUGGUGAUAAUGUGACAAACUGAUAUGCCAGC
rnacentral:snoRNA from 1 species